rnacentral:sRNA from 1 species
UUGACAGCCUUGGAGACUGAAGUCCUGUAUUUAACCACAAAACAGGUAUAACAACUUCUGGUGACAAGUUUGCCCAUGCUUAAUAACUUGAUAUGAAAAGUAUUCCAGUGAGAAGUUCUGUAUCCAUCACCUUGCCCAUGCUAACAAAAU